CAAACAUUUUUUUGGUUAAUUAGCCCUUGAAUUUGAAUUUUUUGAUCUAAAAGACAAGCAAACUAUGCCGACUUUCAAAUAAUAGUAUUAAUAUCCUGCAUGAGCAUUCUGCCCAAGUUUGAAACGAUUAUCUAAUAUCUAAGUUAAUAUUAUGACCCUGAAGAGAAAAUAUAAAAACCAAAAAUUUUUGAAACAUGUUAAAAACGGAUCUCAUAUCUUCUGUCAUAGGGAAGAAGAAGAAGAACACGAGCUACAAUCACCGCUGAAGAGAUGUUUGAAGAUCUUAGAUCAUCGUCGUUUUAAUUAGGAAUCAAAUUUAAAGCUAUUAUCCUUCCGUACAUUAAACGUAAUCCACUAUACAGAUUCAUACGCUUGCAAUCUUAAUAUUGAGUCAACACUUGAAUACUUGAAAUCUAGUGUUUGUUUUAGAUGGAAGCAUUUGUCGCCAAAUUCAAUUGAGUUUAUAUGUGAUGGAGGUGCUGGACAGAGUAUGGUUGUUGAUACAGAUAUGAAGCUUCAGUCGAUGAUUUCAUUGUGUUUUGUUAAGCAGCAAAAUUGUUCGGUGUUCAGUCUUCAAUUUGUUAAAGAAACUCCUAUGAUGCAUUUGCUUUUAUCUGAAGAUCUACUAAAUUUAAAGUUCUCAUUAAUGCUCUGGCCCUUUGUGCGUCAAUAGUAUCUACUAAACGCGUACCUGCUAAUGCUUGCGGUACAACACCUGCUAAAGUUGUUAUCUUUAUCAUUUUGGCGUACCUGUUAAAAGAGUGAUUAGUUGUAGUUCAUCAUCUGAUCAUCGUGCGUACAAUAGAAUGGUAGAGACUAAGAAAGGUAACAAGUCUGCUGAAUGUGAAUUUGUUGUAACUGGGGUCGGCCAAGAAUCAUGGGUGGAUGUGAUGAAGUUAGCCUUGCAGUACAAAAGUAUAAUCACUUUUUUGGUCGAAAGAUUAGCGUUGUGAAAAGUGAUGAGAGUAGAUAUACGGUGGAGUGUUUUUAUGAAGAACAUAGUUGUAACUGGAGAUUUCAUGCAUCGCCAAAGACUUCUGGUGGGAAGAACCAUUUUGUACUUUGAAGCUACAAUGAUGAACAUACUUGUUGUACCGAUUAUAGGGAUGAUAUUAGAGACGCUCCCAUUACACGUGCCCUUGUCAAGAGUUUGAUAUUUGAACAAAUUAAACACAACCCCAACAAGAAACAUCGUGAGAUCAUCGCUGAUUUCAAGAAUGAUUAUUGCUUAAAUUUGAGUUACGAUCAAGCUCAUGCUGGAAAAGAAGAAUGUUUAAAAGAAUUGUAUGGGGAGGAAGCUAAUUUUUAUAAUGUGUUGAAGUGGUUCUGUGAUGCCGUGAAGGAAACGAACCCUGGUAGCAUAGCUGAUUUGGUUUUUGAUGAUGCAAAGAAAUAACUUAAGAGCUUAUUUCUAGCCUUGGAAGCUUGCAUAUUCGGUUUUGAGUAUUAUCGGCUGGUGAUAUUUUUGGAUGCAACUUUCUUAACCGGAAAGUUCAGUAGAUGCCUUAUGUCAGCUACCGAAAAAAUUCUAAUCAAGGAAUUUUUUCUUUGCCUUAUGGUAUUGUUUCCGGGGAAAAUAUUGAUAAUUCGCGUUGGUUCUUGGAAAGGUUAAAGUCCAUAUUGACGACUUCUCGCCCGUUAAACUUCAUCUCGGAUCGUCCUGAUGGCCUUGUUUAUGGUAUUACCGAUAUUUUCCCUCAGUCAUACCAUGGUUUCUGUAAUCAACACUUGAAGAACAACGUUCGUACACAGAUUAGGAAGAAGAAGGAGGAUUAUCAUACUGCAAUGGAAUGUUUCAUUCAAUCUUUUCAUUCAUCAACCAUUGAAGGGUUUCGUGACGGUAUGGAUAAGUUGAAGGAUAUAGGUUGCGAUGGUCUUCAUGAAUACUUGAGUGAUGUUCCUGUAGAAUACUGAUCAAAAGCACAUUGUAAAGUAUGUACAUUUGGAGAUGUGUUAAAAUAUUGUUGAAUCGUUCAACUCUUGGGUCACUUAUCCGAAGAGCUUUCCUGUUGAACGAGAUUCGUAUCAAGAUCAUGGAUCAGAUGAAUAAGAGGCGACUGAAAGGUGCGACAUAUUCAAGGUUUGCCUGUCCGAGGAUUGAAAAAAAAUCUAGAAGUCUAUUCAUGAUGGUGGCAGUUUGACAAUUACCAAGUAUGGCGACCUUAUUUUUGAAGUACAGGGUGAACACUCAUUUGUCGUUGAUCUGAAUAAGUGGUAUUGCAGCUGUAGCAAGUGGUUUACCGGUCAGUUUCCCUGUGAUCAUGCCAUUCAGUGUAUGCUUUCAUCUAAUAUCUCCGUCUAUGAAUUUCCGAAUCCGUUUUUCAGCAUCAGUUUCUUCCGGGCUUCGUAUUCGCAGUCUAUCAACCUCAUUCCCAAUCAUAACAAGCUAAGAAGGGUUGCUGCGGGAGAUAUGGUCCUUCUACCUGAUGUAACUGAGAAGAAACGGGGUAGGCGGAAGAAGAAAAGGAUUCCUAACACCGGUUCUAUCUUCACGAGAGCCAUUCAGUGUGGGAACUGCCAUACUAAGGCCAGGGACAAUAGAAACACAUGUCCCCAUCCUCCUGCCAAGAAGCCUCGUCUUCUCCCCUCUGCUUGAGAGCAAUAUCUUCCUUUCUUAUCUUUCUAUACAGCCUGGUUGCAUUUAAAGUAAUUCAUACUCAUUGAUACUCACUGCUAUAUUCAUUAAUAAAUUAUAAUGUAGUUUUUUCAUGGGAUGC